rnacentral:rRNA from 1 species
GAUGAACGCUGGCGGCGUGCCUAAUACAUGCAAGUCGAGCGAACAGACGAGGAGCUUGCUCCUCUGACGUUAGCGGCGGACGGGUGAGUAACACGUGGAUAACCUACCUAUAAGACUGGGAUAACUUCGGGAAACCGGAGCUAAUACCGGAUAAUAUAUUGAACCGCAUGGUUCAAUAGUGAAAGACGGUUUUGCUGUCACUUAUAGAUGGAUCCGCGCCGCAUUAGCUAGUUGGUAAGGUAACGGCUUACCAAGGCAACGAUGCGUAGCCGACCUCAGAGGGUGAUCGGCCACACUGGAACUGAGACACGGUCCAGACUCCUACGGGAGGCAGCAGUAGGGAAUCUGCCGCAAUGGGCGAAAGCCUGACGGAGCAACGCCGCGUGAGUGAUGAAGGUCUUCGGAUCGUAAAACUCUGUUAUUAGGGAAGAACAAAUGUGUAAGUAACUAUGCACGUCUUGACGGUACCUAAUCAGAAAGCCACGGCGAACUACGU